rnacentral:rRNA from 1 species
UACAGAGGGGGCAAGCGUUAUUCGGAAUUAUUGGGCGUAAAGAGCUCGUAGGCGGUUUGUCGCGUCUGCCGUGAAAGUCCGGGGCUCAACUCCGGAUCUGCGGUGGGUACGGGCAGACUAGAGUGAUGUUGGGGAGACUGGAAUUCCUGGUGUAGCGGUGAAAUGCGCAGAUAUCAGGAGGAACACCGAUGGCGAAGGCAGGUCUCUGGGCAUUAACUGACGCUGAGGAGCGAAAGCAUGGGGAGCGAACAGG